GAUGACCGCUGACAGAAUGCUUAACACAUGCAGUCACCGACUAUGGCGGACGUGUGAGUAUCGCCUAAAGAACUUUCCUCACAGUUAGGUACAACAUCUGGAAACUAAUGCUAAUACCUAAUACUGUGAGAUAGCUUUGCGUCCCAUUAGCUAGUUGGAGAUGUAACGGCUCACCAAGGCGAUGAUGGGUAGCCGGCCUGAGAGGGUGAUCGGACACAAGGGGUCUGCGAGACGGCCCUUACUACUACGGGAGGCAGCAGUGGGGAAUAUUGGACGACGGACCAAAGUCUGAUCCAGCAAUUCUGUGUGCACGAUGAAGUUUUCGGAAUGUAAGGUGCAUUCAGUUGGGAAGCGGUACAAACAGAAGAAGUGACGGCUAAAUACGUGCCAGCCGCCGCGGUAAUUC
rnacentral:rRNA from 1 species